rnacentral:rRNA from 1 species
UGAGUAACCUGCCCUUAACUCUGGGAUAAGCCUGGGAAACUGGGUCUAAUACCGGAUAUGACUCCUCAUCGCAUGGUGGGAGGUGGAAAGCUUUAUUGUGGUUUUGGAUGGACUCGCGGCCUAUCAGCUUGUUGGUGAGGUAAUGGCUUACCAAGGCGACGACGGGUAGCCGGCCUGAGAGGGUGACCGGCCACACGUGGGACUGAGACACGGCCCAAAACUCCUACAGGGAGGCAG